rnacentral:rRNA from 1 species
GAUGAACGCUGGCGGCGUGCCUAAUACAUGCAAGUCGAGCGAACAGACGAGGAGGUUGCUCCUCUGACGUUAGCGGCGGACGGGUGAGUAACACGUGGAUAACCUACCUAUAAGACUGGGAUAACUUCGGGAAACCGGAGCUAAUACCGGAUAAUAUAUUGAACCGCAUGGUUCAAUAGUGAAAGACGGGUUUGCUGUCACUUAUAGAUGGAUCCGCGCCGCAUUAGCUAGUUGGUAAGGUAAGGGCUUACCAAGGCAACGAUGCGUAGCCGACCUGAGAGGGUGAUCGGCCACACUGGAACUGAGACACGGUCCCGACUCCUACGGGAGGCAGCAGUAGGGACUCUUCCGCAAUGGGCGAAAGCUUGACGGAGCAACGCCGCGUGAGUGAUGAAGGUCUUCGGAUCGUAAAACUCUGUUAUUAGGGAAGAACAAAUGUGUAAGUAACUAUGCACGUCUUGACGGUACCUAAUCAGAAAGCCACGGCUAACUACGUG